UGAGGUUAUCCCGUGAGUGUUGGGGUGUAAUUGGGUCAACGCCAAUAUUAGUGUUAUUGGGCCAAUGAAUUGCGCAGACAACAGUUAACAAAUUGAUAACAUAGUGGUUAAGAUAUUAAAAACAAAUUGAUAGUUAAUGAAAAUUGUUUAUUGAUAAUGGGUCAUACCUAAAGGUAAGUCCAUCUUAAUAUAUAUGAUGUUAUUGGGCCAGCGUUGACUUAAGGUCCACAAAACACCUAAAAAUAUAGAGGUAAGCUAGUUUUGAUUGAGUUACUGAUACCUAAUUAUGAAUUAAGUUUAUUGAGAAAAAUUGAUUUGAGCCAGCAGCAAGGUGUCUCUUCGGCCCUACUCAUUUAUAUACUAAAACAUCUAUCUUUAUUCAUUUAUACUCAAAAUUAUACUCAGUUUCUUCUUUUUACCCUAAUUUAUUUUAGGCUUAAUGUCAUUGUUGGUCCAAUUUUUGUCAGCUUUGUUUGAAAUGGUCCUAAUUUUUUUAAAAUGUUUAAUGUAGUCCUAAAGAUCGUAAUUUAUGUUCAAUUUAAUCUUUUUUGCAAACACCGUUUAAAUCGUUAACGACCAAAUGUCCAGUUGUACAAUCAGUGAAUGACAUGUCAUUUAACUGCUGACAUGACACUUUAAUUGCGCCACCACCACCGUUGUUCAUCUUCUCCAUCCAGCAACCACCUAGAAACACCACCAUGAUCAUCUUCCCCUUCCUCCACCG
rnacentral:lncRNA from 1 species